rnacentral:rRNA from 1 species
GCUUGACACUGAACAUUGAGCCUUGAUGUGUAGGAUAGGUGGGAGGCUUUGAAGUGUGGACGCCAGUCUGCAUGGAGCCGACCUUGAAAUACCACCCUUUAAUGUUUGAUGUUCUAACGUGGACCCGUUACCCGGGUUGCGGACAGUGUCUGGUGGGUAGUUUGACUGGGGCGGUCUCCUCCUAAAGAGUAACGGAGGAGCACGAAGGUUGGCUAAUCCUGGUCGGACAUCAGGAGGUUAGUGCAAUGGCAUAAGCCAGCUUGACUGCGAGCGUGACGGCGCGAGCAGGUGCGAAAGCAGGUCAUAGUGAUCCGGUGGUUCUGAAUGGAAGGGCCAUCGCUCAACGGAUAAAAGGUACUCCGGGGAUAACAGGCUGAUACCGCCCAAGAGUUCAUAUCGACGGCGGUGUUUGGCACCUCGAUGUCGGCUCAUCACAUCCUGGGGCUGAAGUAGGUCCCAAGGGUAUGGCUGUUCGCCAUUUAAAGUGGUACGCGAGCUGGGUUUAGAACGUCGUGAGACAGUUCGGUCCCUAUCUGCCGUGGGCGCUGGAGAACUGAGGGGGGCUGCUCCUAGUACGAGAGGACCGGAGUGGACGCAUCACUGGUGUUCGGGUUGUCAUGCCAAUGGCACUGCCCGGUAGCUAAAUGCGGAAGAGAUAAGUGCUGAAAGCAUCUAAGC